GAACCGCAUUUGAAACUGGCAGGCUAGAGUCUUGUAGAGGGGGGUAGAAUUUCAGGUGUAGCGGUGAAAUGCGUAGAGAUCUGAAGGAAUACCAGUGGCGAAGGCGGCCCCCUGGACAAAGACUGACGCUCAGAUGCGAAAGCGUGGGUAGCAAACAGGAUUAGAUACCCUGGUAGUCCACGCCGUAAACGCUGUCUACUUGGAGGUUGAGGUUUUAGACUUUGGCUUUCGGCGCUAACGCAUUAAGUAGACCGCCUGGGGAGUACGGCCGCAAGGUUCAAACUCAAAUGAAUUGACGGGGGCCCGCACAAGCGGUGGAGCAUGUGGUUUAAUUCGAUGCAACGCGAAGAACCUUACCUACUCUUGACAUCCAGCGAAGCCUUUAGAGAUAG
rnacentral:rRNA from 1 species